rnacentral:lncRNA from 1 species
GCAUUGUGUGUUGUGUGUGAUGAAUUUUGAGGCACUUUUGUUUAUUUAGACUCCACAAGGGGUUUUUUUUUGUUAGGUUGGAUGAUGUAAUGUGCUUUGUUGUGGUCUAUGAUGAUUCAAGUAUGAGACUUGAAUGCAACACUGUGCAAGGCAUUUUUUUGAUCCAUGGUGAGCUUCUGCUUCCUGUUUGCUGCCAACAUGUUGAAAAGGCUGGAAGAUGUUGUUGUUUCAUCAAAAAGCAAGACCUUUUUNUUUUGUAAUGAAUCUAGUGUGUAAUGAAGUUGGUAGAUAUUUUUUUUUUUUUUGUAAUGAAGGCAAUGUGUAAUGAGGCUGGAACAGUGUACUGCCUUCUAUAUUUAAAGAGAUGUUUUUAAUUUCAACCCCCAAAAUCUUGGUGGGAAUGUGAGAUUUAGUGUAAUUCCCUCCAUUCUCAAAAUUUGGUGUAUAAUUUUAAAUUCAUUUCCCACUUUUCACUUUUUAAUCGGUAAGUGUAAAGUGUUUUCAAGUGGUUUCAGAAUUUUAAUUAAUUAAAAAUAUUAAAUAGUUAAAGAAUUUUGGU